CCGAGUUCUCUCCACCAGCGCAGCCACCAAACGUGUAUGACACAGUGAUUCAACACUUCUGUACCUUUCUCAGGACGCAUCAAGAUUUGAAACUGAGGAU